AGACCAUGGUGAGGGCAUCUUUGAACCUGCGACUUAAAUCACUCCCAAGCUUUGUAAAAAUUCUCUCCUAUUUUUUUAAACGUUGGGAUCUCUCUCCUUAGUUG
rfam:Gossypium raimondii chromosome 13, whole genome shotgun sequence.